rnacentral:rRNA from 1 species
AGGACGAACGCUGGCGGCGUGCCUAACACAUGCAAGUGGAGCGACGAACCAGGCUUCGGCCUGGGGCAAAGCCGCGAACGGGUGAGUAACACGUGGGUAACCUGCCCCGAUGAUUGGGACAACCCGAGGAAACUCGGGCUAAUACCGAAUGUGCCCUCCGACCAUAAGGUCGCUGGGGAAAGGAAGCUUCGGCCUUCGCAUCGGGAUGGGCCCGCGGCCCAUUAGCUUGUUGGUGAGGUAACGGCUCACCAAGGCAACGAUGGGUAGCUGGUCUGAGAGGACGAUCAGCCACACUGGGACUGAGACACGGCCCAGACUCCUACGGGAGGCAGCAGUGGGGAAUCUUGCGCAAUGGGCGAAAGCCUGACGCAGCGACGCCGCGUGGGGGAUGAAGGCCUUCGGGUUGUAACCCUUUCAGCACCGACGAAGCGCGAGUGACGGUAGGUGCAGAAGAAGCGCGGCUAACUACGCGCUAGCAGCCGCGGU